rnacentral:tRNA from 1 species
GUGGGUAUAGUUUAACAAAACAUUAGAUUGUGGUUCUAAAGAUAGGGGUUAAAACCCCCCUUACCCACC